rnacentral:misc_RNA from 1 species
GCGAGUAUAACUCUCUAAAACCAUUGUGAACGAACGAACCCGUUGCUUCGGCUGGACGGCUCUGCUGCCGCCGGAAGAACGCAAACUCUUGUUAUUAUUGUUUCUCUGAGUACUUAUUCAAUAAGUAA